GUCCACGCCGUAAACGAUGGAUACUAGCUGUUGGGGGUAACCUCAGUGGCUAAGCGAAAGUGAUAAGUAUCCCACCUGGGGAGUACGUUCGCAAGAAUGAAACUCAAAGGAAUUGACGGGGGCCCGCACAAGCGGUGGAGCAUGUGGUUUAAUUCGAUGAUACGCGAGGAACCUUACCAAGGCUUAAAUGUAGUUUGACAGGUUUGGAAACAGAUCUUUCUUCGGACAAAUUACAAGGUGCUGCAUGGUUGUCGU
rnacentral:rRNA from 1 species